UACGGAGGAUCCAAGCGUUAUCCGGAUUUAUUGGGUUUAAAGGGUGCGUAGGCGGCUUAUUAAGUCAGGGGUGAAAGACGGUGGCUCAACCAUCGCAGUGCCUUUGAUACUGAUGAGCUUGAAUACACUUGAGGUAGGCGGAAUGUGACAAGUAGCGGUGAAAUGCAUAGAUAUGUCACAGAACACCAAUUGCGAAGGCAGCUUACUAAAGUGUGAUUGACGCUGAGGCACGAAAGCGUGGGGAUCAAACAGG
rnacentral:rRNA from 2 species